rnacentral:rRNA from 1 species
GGAAGUAAAAGUCGUAAACAAGGUCUCCGUUGGUGAACCAGCGGAGGGAUCAUUACCGAGUUAUACAACUCAUCAACCCUGUGAACAUACCUAAAACGUUGCUUCGGCGGGAACAGACGGCCCUGUAACAACGGGCCGCCCCCGCCAGAGGACCCCUAACUCUGUUUUUAUAAUGUUUUUCUGAGUAAACAAGCAAAUAAAUUAAAACUUUCAACAACGGAUCUCUUGGCUCUGGCAUCGAUGAAGAACGCAGCGAAAUGCGAUAAGUAAUGUGAAUCGCAGAAUUCAGUGAAUCAUCGAAUCUUUGAACGCACAUUGCGCCCGCCAGUAUUCUGGCGGGCAUGCCUGUUCGAGCGUCAUUACAACCCUCAGGCCCCCGGGCCUGGCGUUGGGGAUCGGCGGAAGCCCCCUGUGGGCACACGCCGUCCCUCAAAUACAGUGGCGGUCCCGCCGCAGCUUCCAUUGCGUAGUAGCUAACACCUCGCAACUGGAGAGCGGCGCGGCCAUGCCGUAAAACACCCAACUUCUGAAUGUUGACCUCGAAUCAGGUAGGAAUACCCGCUGAACUUAAGCAUAUCAAUAAGCGGAGGAAAAGAAACCAACAGGGAUUGCCCUAGUAACG